AACGAACGCUGGCGGCAGGCCUAACACAUGCAAGUCGAACGCCGUAGCAAUACGGAGUGGCAGACGGGUGAGUAACACGUGGGAACGUACCCUUCGGUUCGGAAUAACUCAGGGAAACUUGAGCUAAUACCGGAUACGUCCGAGAGGAGAAAGAUUUAUCGCCGAGGGAUCGGCCCGCGUCUGAUUAGCUUGUUGGUGAGGUAACGGCUCACCAAGGCGACGAUCAGUAGCUGGUCNGAGAGGAUGAUCAGCCACAUUGGGACUGAGACACGGCCCAAACUCCUACGGGAGGCAGCAGUGGGGAAUAUUGGACAAUGGGCGCAAGCCUGAUCCAGCCAUGCCGCGUGAGUGAUGAAGGCCCUAGGGUUGUAAAGCUCUUUUACCCGGGAAGAUAAUGACUGUACCGGGAGAAUAAGCCCCGG
rnacentral:rRNA from 1 species